rnacentral:rRNA from 1 species
GACGAACGCUGGCGGCGUGCUUAACACAUGCAAGUCGAACGGAAAGGCCCUGCUUUUGUGGGGUGCUCGAUUGGCGAACGGGUGAGUAACACGUGAGUAACCUGCCCUUGACUUUGGGAUAACUUCAGGAAACUGGGGCUAAUACCGGAUAGGAUCUCCUGCUGCAUGGGGGUGGUUGGAAAGUUUCGGCGGUUGGGGCUGGACUCGCGGCUUAUCAGCUUGUUUGUGGGGUAGUGGCUGACCAAGGCUUUGACGGGUAGCCGGCCUGGGAGGGUGGCCGGCCACCAUGGGCCUACGAUACGCCCCAGACUCCUACGGGAGGCAGAAGUGGGAAAUAUUGCACAAUGGGCGGAAGCCUGAUGCAGAAACGCCGCGUGCGGGAUGACGGUCUUCGGGUUGUAAACCGCUUUCGCAUGUGCCGAAGCGUGAGUGACGGUACUGGGUCAAGAAGCACCGGCUAACUACGUG